rnacentral:rRNA from 1 species
CAGAGGGUGCAAACGUUGUUCGGAAUUACUGGGCGUAAAGCGCGUGUAGGCGGUCGGGCAAGUCGGAUGUGAAAGCCCAGGGCUCAACCCUGGAAGUGCACUCGAUACUGCUCGGCUAGAGUCCCGGAGAGGAUGGUGGAACUCUCGGUGUAGAGGUGAAAUUCGUAGAUAUCGAGAAGAACACCGGUGGCGAAGGCGGCCAUCUGGACGGUGACUGACGCUGAGACGCGAAAGCGUGGGGAGCAAACAGGAUUAGAUACCCUGGUAGUCCACGCCGUAAACGAUGGGUGCUAGGUGUCACGGGUAUUGACCCCUGUGGUGCCGAAGCUAACGCAUUAAGCACCCCGCCUGGGAAGUACGGCCGCAAGGCUA